rnacentral:lncRNA from 1 species
UAUAUACGUGAUCGGGAGGACGAGCUGCACCUCGAGGAGGGUGGAGGAGGGAUCGGGGAGCUCUCGACUGGGUAGGACUUCGCCAAGUGCGGAAGGCUUUGGGCACGACGGGGCUUUGGUCAGAGGUGAGGGGAGAAGAGGCUUUGGUUGAGAUGCGGCUCGGGACGAGCUUCCUAUGGCUCGAGGUGAGGGGUGGAGCACGCAGCAGCCUCUGGAGAGGCUAUUUAUAACCAGCUCAGGGUCGGUUCCGCGGUGGUCAGGGCAUAAGCAUGGCGGUUGUGACCGGCUCUAGCGAUGCUCAGGCGUAGCAGGGCGGCAGCAGGGGAUGCAGGGCAGCAGGAAGACGAUGCAGGGAGGGGACCGGGUCACCUCCCAAAUGGAGGAGGUCUGGGCGGCGCCGGCC